rfam:Canis lupus familiaris chromosome 6, whole genome shotgun sequence.
GUGCUCUCCUCGGCAGCACAUAUAGUGAAGCUAUCACCAGCCAGAGGAGAUUGGCAUGGCCCCGGGGCAAAGGAUGACAUGCAAACUCAUGAAGCAGUUCCUAUUUUU